rnacentral:rRNA from 1 species
ACCAAACAGCUAGCUCAACCAAAAUGAUUAAAUUUACAACAUAAAUUAACCUAUCAAAAACUAACCCCACCAACUAAACCAUUCGACCACCCCAGUACGGGCGACAGAAAAGGACCAUGAAGCCAUAGACAAA